ensembl:ncRNA Y47H9C.17 ncRNA
UAUCAAAAAAUUUUCAACUAUUAAAAUGCUCAGAAUAAAGUGGGAAAUAUUUUGUUAGUUGACAACUUUUUGAUAUCU